AAGGUGGUCUGCACCAGGAAGUCACAGGGUUUCACUAGCCAGAUCUCUGCAUCCUGACCACCACUACACCUCUGCCAUAGCCCCAACUCCACGCCCACAGUCUUACAGUGAAUCAGCCCAUUGUAGCGAAGGAGUUGCAGCCUUCAGAUGACUGGGGUUCAUGCUGUAUGACUGCUUAUUCCUCUUGAUCAGGAAGCCAGAGCAAUUCCACUGGAGACCAUCCAUCACAGUUUUCCCUGUAGACACCUCAUGCCACUGAUUGGAUAUGAGGGCCUUGUGACUUGCCGAGAUGGGCCAUAAAUAGAUGAACAUUUGCCUCAUCUGAGCAGAGGUUUUUAGAUGAGCUCUUGUGUUCUGACCUCCACCCUGAGACCAUCAAGUUUCGUGUAGCGGCUACUUCUUCAUCCUGGGUUCGGGAACGAGAAGACACAGGGAGCAUUGCCAAGAAGAGUCCAGCAGAGCUGCAAAUAUCCAGAAAUUUCAGAACUUUUAGGAUUGAAAAUUGAAACUUUCUUAUUUCUAACAAGUUAAAGAAUCUAAAAUUCAGACAAAGAUUGUUCACAGAUCCAACACACCCUUGGUCAAGUCUACUGAUUAGAUUAAUAUGGCCUUAGUAAAUGAUCUCAGUUAGACAAAUGGCUCAGGGAAAAGACACUAAAGGUGCAUCCAUCUGAAGCUUGAUAAGAUCAAAGUAUCUAUGAAGGUAUUUCUUGAAAAGUUAUGGGUAUGGUUAUUGACUCACAUGAAACUUGUUGGGAUCAAACUGAUUAAAAAGAAAAAAGAAAUUUUGUAGAGAGCUGUUGCCAAAGUACUCCCAGCCUGGAUUAGAAGAGACUACAACUAUUCAAAUCAUAAAUAACUCUUGGGUCCCUAGUCUUCUACAGGUGUGAAGCAAUCUGAGAUAGCCUGUCAGUCACAAAUGGCAUCUUUUCUGAUACUCACUUCAGAAAAGGCCAAGGAAGAUAACGGAAAAGGAAGAGUUGUCCAAUCAAACAUCGUGGAGAACACAGACUAAGAAAUGACUCCCAGAAAAUAUCACUGGAGCAAAUCAAGGAGCAGUCCCUACCAUUAGUGUAGAGGAACUUGCAACUUCUGUUCAGUGGAAUAUCAGAACUGUUAUUCACCAGUGACUGGUCACUGAAUCAAGAAGAGCAGCCAGCAGACAUGAUAUAUAUUCACCAGAUUCUGGACAUCUGAGCCCAAUGCCUGAAACAUGAGAAGCAGAGCUGAAUGCUCAAUCACAGUUAUCCCAUCCAUCCAUCAGACAAGAUGGAGGUGAAGGCCUGUGCAUGGCACACAGUGCUGCCAGUCUCUGUUGGGCAUGAAGAAGUCUGAAAGAGCUCACUCUUGUACAUGACUCUGCUGGGAGGAUCUUUCCUAUGACUUACAAGGUUCUCUUCCUCCCACCUAGGUACCACCUGCAAUUGCUGGUCCAGAAUGCCCGUCCUAAAGAGAAAUGAUAGCCAGAUGGAAUCAUCCUGGGAUGUAGUAUACAAAGAUACUACAAGAGAAAAGAUUGAAAGGGACAGAGCAUGGGGGCUAGGGAGCAGUGGUGUGGUGACAAAUUAAAAAGCAUCAGAAAUAUGCCAGAAAUGUGGCACUACAGCCCAGGCAAAAAUUAGCAUCAAGUCCAUGUAUCACCAAGAAUUCACAAGGUAAUGAAGCUAUUGAUUGAUGAAAUAAGAAUUUUUCCAUUGGGUUAUGAGGGCCCAGGGAAGAUAAAGUGAAAUAAUAGGUGGAAAAAACAAGCCCUUAGGGAAAUAUGAGGGUUACUUUGGAAGCAGCACCAAGGAGAAUAGACACUGCUGAGAACACAUAAGGACAGUGGACGACAAGAGUGAGAAAGUGAAAUGGCAAUAAACAAGAAUUGGAAGGGAAUGUAGAUAAAUGAUCAAUAAAGAAGACACAUUCAUUGGAUCCAGAAUUAAUGAGAGAGGACUCUAAAUCCUAAAUGGCACAUCUUAUUCAAGGGAAUACAAAGUUACAUCAGAUUGUCAACACUAAGACAUAGCGUAGUGAAGUCCUGAAUAUCCAAGAUAGAGAUUUCCUAACAAUGGAAACAUUAUAUAAAUAGCACAGUUCAGAGAAAAAAAAAGGGGGGGGGGAAGGUAAUGUAAGAGUAGAGACUUCCUUAACUUUCACAGCCAGGCAGCAAAGCUGACAAACCAGCUAAUACAACUUUUUAAAAUAUACAAAUAUAAGAAAGUAAUAAAAAUCAAAAUCAGCUACUAGAAGGAGUACUAAGAAGUGGAAAUUGCUGAUUUCACCAUUAAUAUGGUAAGGAGUCAAAGAAUGUUGAUCAAAGAAAUAGAGGUCUUAAGUAAAGUAUACCACAUGCUUAUUAAAACAAACCACUAGAGAAAAAUUUAUAUUUUUCAUAUAAUCAGCAAAAAGCAAGAAAAAACACAGACCACAUAGUGAAAUGUAGAAAUAAAAAGGUCAAUAAAAAAACAGAAGUGUAUCAUUAAUUAUGACAAAAAAUAAGAUCCAUCAAAUCCACUUUAAGAAAUGUAUCUUCCAAAUAUAUUCAUAUAUAUGUGAACGAGGUAUGUACAGAGAUGUCUACUGCACAGCUGUUUGUAACAGCAAAAGCCUGGGAACAAUUUAAAAGUUUAUUAAUGGCAACUGAUUCAAUAAAUUAUACCACAAAAUGGAAUACUAUACAGCAGACAGAAAGAUUGACACAGCUUCAAAAUCAUAAUGUUAGGUUUAAAAAUAAGGUAUAGAAUACACAACCAUUUGUACAAAAAUUAUAUGCACACAUAACAUAUAAUCUGUGUAUGUGUGUAUGAGUGUAGAUACAUACCAUCUUUGGAAGAACAAGGAAAUUUGUAAAAACAGAUGUGACCAGACAGGGAAAUUGGGUCAGUGGAAGAUGAAGGCCAGAAGAGUACUUCUCAUGUACUCCUCUACACUUCCCAAACGGUGUAUGUGUGCAGAUUCUGUCUAACCAAAAUCAUAUCAAUUACCAAAUUGUUGACCCUAUUAUGCAAGUGCCAAUUUAUAAUAGGUUGGGCAUCAACAUAAUUCCCUACCUAGAACAUCUCUGAGUAUCCAGUUUGCUUGUGUCCCAUUAAAAUAUAAGAUUUUAUUUUGCCUUGGACUCACUUUUAGAACUUGACCUAGAAGGGACUUGAACGCAGAUGUCACCAUCAUCUAGAUAGAAAUGGCCUAGAUCACCAGCUAACACCUGCUUCAAGGGAAGGGUAGAGAAUGCCCAUCAUUUGUGAGCAUGCUGAUCAGACACAAGGAAACUGAGUUAAAUCAGAUUGACGUCAUAGUUAUAGUUAGACAGAGGGGUGAUGUGUCCAGGAGCACUCCAGGACAAGCUGUGAAGCUAUUAUUAAGUACUCUUCAAUUUUUAAUUUUAUAACUGUCCACUCCCACUGAGAAUGCCCUCCUGCAGACAUCAUUUGAAGUGAGAAAACAUUUCCUGCUUUGCCUGUAUUUUGUGGAUUUUUUUAGCUUUCUUCUCAUAGAUUAUAAUCUCUAGACCUACACCUGAGGGAUAAUUUACACAAGAUUAUCCACACAGAAUGAUCUUCCACAAUUUGCUGUUUCAAGGCAUGAAAAAAAAAAAAAAGAAUCACAACUGCCUAGGGAGAAAAAAGAAUCAUAAGGCCAGUCUCCCUCUUGAGAGUUGAAUUUGAUCCUUUAAGGUGAGCAAUUCAAUCUUUUAAAAGGCACAUCUCUGUUCUAAUCAAUCAAGCUUUCAUUUCCAAUGGCAAUAAGCUUCCCUAGGCACUCAAGAAAUCAGAAACUAGAGCCUUAGUACAUGAAAAGUCAAUACAGUAUUUUCUACUAAGUUGACUUGGUCCUACAAACCUACCCAGGAUUUUCUCAGCAGGAAAUCUGGUGUUUCAAUAUAUCAUGUGAUGUCAACACCAUCUAUCAGUGCCAAUCUGUCACAUUAAAUGGAAACGAUGUGGUUUGCAUCCAGGACUUCAGGAAUAGAGUUUCUGAUAAAUUUGUGAAGAACCAAAGACAAGCAAUAGCCCCCAGUGUGUGUCCAACCUCACAUCUUGGGUUAUAUUGCUUUGUGAGGACUGUGUCCGAAGUUGACUGAUGAGAUAUUCUGGGCAUUAGGGGUUCUGAUUCUAGUUACUUAUGAUAGCAAGUGGCUUUGCAGAUAUCAUUGGCCAAUAAAAGAGUCAGAAACCAUGGGCAUGAUUCCAAUCCUCUUUUUCUUCAUUAAUAAAGUUUUGCGUGAAGCGGUAGGAAGAUUCAUAAAAUCUAGAUGACUCACAAAGUGAAAUUUAUAGUACAAGCAUUUCGUAAUGCUUUUCUCCCCCAAGAUGCCAUAUUAGAAAUUUGCUCAGGGAACACUCAAAUUUUCGCAAGACUAGAAAAAUAAUCUUCUAUGCAAACAUAUUCCAAGGGCUGAAUAGUCAAUAUGACAUCCUGAUGCAGUUCAUAUCUUAACACACUGGUAUAUGGGUAGUUAAUGGAAGAAAAGUUUUAAGGCCUGGCUUCAGAUCUCAGCCCCACCCCACACCACCACCACCACAGUAUGAGACAUGUAAGAACUGGAGGCUUUUUAACUUUCUAAACCUGCAAAACAGGCAUCAGAAGAGCUGGUCCACCUUUCCGCAUGCCUCCUGGGAGAACUGAUGGCAAUGAAGUUUGUGCUUAUCUUUUGUGUGCGUUAGAAGGGAUGUCAUUGUUUUUUAGGUAGUUAGUGGUGGUAAUUCUGGGCUCUUCAUGAGUAUUCUGCAUCUAAUGCUUUAUAUGCCAGUUUCCUAGUUGGGUCUAAUUAUCUU